CGGGGGAGCUAAGCGUUGUUCGGAGUUUACUGGGCGUAAAGGGCGCGUAGGCGGUCAGCACAAGUCAGUUGUGAAAUCUCCGGGCUUAACUCGGAAAGGUCAACUGAUACUGUGCGACUAGAGUGCGAAGGGGCAACUGGAAUUCUCGGUGUAGCGGUGAAAUGCGUAGAUAUCGAGAGGAACACCUGCGGCGAAGGCGGGUUGCUGGGCCGACACUGACGCUGAUGCGCGAAAGCCAGGGGAGCGAACGGGAUUAGAUACCCCGGUAGUCCUGGCCUUAAACGAUGGAUGCUUGGUGUCUGGAGUUUUAUAGUCUCCGGGUGCCGUAGCUAACGCGUUAAGCAUCCCGCCUGGGGAGUACGGUCGCAAGACUG
rnacentral:rRNA from 1 species